rnacentral:rRNA from 1 species
UACAGAGGUCUCAAGCGUUGUUCGGAUUCAUUGGGCGUAAAGGGUGCGUAGGCGGCGUCGUAAGUCGGGUGUGAAAUCUCGGGGCUCAACUCCGAAAUUGCAUUCGAUACUGCGGUGCUUGAGGACUGGAGAGGAGACUGGAAUUUACGGUGUAGCAGUGAAAUGCGUAGAGAUCGUAAGGAAGACCAGUGGCGAAGGCGGGUCUCUGGACAGUUCCUGACGCUGAGGCACGAAGGCCAGGGGAGCAAACGGG